rnacentral:rRNA from 1 species
AUUGAACGCUGGCGGCAUGCCUUACACAUGCAAGUCGAACGGUAACGGGCCUUCGGGUGCCGACGAGUGGCGAGCGGGGGGGUAAUACACCGGAACGUGCCCGAUCGUUGGGGAUAACGAGGCGAAAGCUUUGCUAAUACCGCAUACGAUCUACGUAUGCAAGCAGGGGACCGCAAGGCCUUGCGCGGACGGAGCGGCCGAUGGAAGAUUACGUAGGUGGUGGGAUAAAAGCUUACGAAGACGACGAUCUGUAGCUGUUCUGAGGGGAUGAUCAGCCACAUUGGCACUGAGACACGGCCCACACUCCUGCGGUAGGCAGCAGUGGGGAAUUUUGGACAAUGGGCGCAAGCCUGAUACAGCCAUGCCGCGUGCAGGAUGAAGGCCUUCGGGUUGUAAAGUGCUUUUGUACGGAACGAAAAGCAUUCUUUUAAUACAGGAGGGUCAUGACGGUACCGUAAGAAUAAGCACCGGCUAACUACGUG